AAAUAGAAAGUGCUAUUUUGACACCAAUUUCGGUGCUAAUUUAACACCACCAAAUCUGACAUUACGCUAAAAGUGCCAAUAUGACACCUUAUAAUUUCAGCACCUUUGCAAGGUGCUGAAAUAGCACCUAUUUCGCAGACGGAAAGUGCUAAAAUAACGCCAGAUUGAGAGUUAAAGUAUGGGGUGUCAAAAUAACACUAAAUAGCAAUAGAGAAUUUUCGACUUUAUUACAAAGUCAUCUUCAGACAGAAUGGAUAGGGAAAGAGCGGUUAUUUAAGUUAUUGGAAAAUAAAUCUGUAUUUUCGAAUCAAUGUUUUAGAACAAGAAAUUCCUGUGCGUUUUCGCACAACUAUUCAUCUGAGUGAUCUGACGACAUGGAAAUUCGGCUUGUUCCUAUGAUACGAAAAAACCCAAUAGAGACGAAUACUAGACAAAUGGUACAUCGAUAGUGAUGCAUUGUCCUUUUCAUUUCAUCAAACUAUGUUAUUCCGUGCUAUAUUUUCGGACUGCUUAUGUAUUGAUUGCUACAAAGUAUUUAUUUCGCAAUCGCCUGAUAUGUAUGUCCAUAUAAGGAACAAAAUAUAACACGUGAUCAGCGCCUGUAUGCAAAUUUUGAGCGCGUCGUUUGAAAACUCUUUUGAAUCGUAUUUCAUACUGCAGUGUUGAAGACGUUUUCAGCGUAUUUUCUUAACUAUUUUGGUACUUCUAAAUAUGCUGAACACCAACGGACUCACAUAAGGAAAUAUCAAGACAAUUGGCUAUGAUAUUAUCUCAGAAAUAUCUUGAGAAGCCAAAUGAAUUCUACUUUUAAUACUGCGAUGAUCUCUUUAGCAAUCUGGGUCAAAGAAAAUAUCAUUGCAAUAAUAGUUUUCACCAAGAUUGAAUGAAGGCCUCAAAUGUGGCAAAUUAAGGGGAAACUGUAAUUCUAAUGAUAUGACAAGGAAAUAUCCCUUCCUUGCUGACUCAAUUGUGGUUGUGGAACAGGUUCAUGGACCAUAACAAGGCCAUAGAUUGAAACAAUUUUAGAAGAAUAUCCUGCACUACAGCUCAUUACAGAGAUCAGGACCCAAGGCUAAUUCGUUCAGAAGACCUUUCAGAUGUUCAAACUUUCAUGAUUGCGGUGGAGGGGCAAAUGUUAACUUAUCAAAGAACAGACUCAACUUCAUUUUAUCUACUAAACAUGGAGUACAUUGCUGGUGAGGCAAAUGUGUGUGCAUUUUUGGAAACUGCUCUCGUCGGGAAGCCUUAGGACAAAAACUUUUGAAGGACUUUAAGUACCGUAAAAUUUUAAACAUUCU
rnacentral:lncRNA from 1 species